CAAAUCGUUUUAAAGCGUAAGUAAGUGGCAUAGAAUUAUUUACAGGGGAUUUUAAAAGCUUUAAAAAGUGGUUAACAUGGUUUACAAAUCGUUUUAAAGCGUAAGUAAGUGGCAAAGAAUAAUUUACAAGGGAUUUUAAAAGCUUUGAAAAGUGGUUAACAUGGUUUACAAAUCGUUUUAAAGCGUAAGUAAGUGACAUAGAUCUAUCACGAAAAGCAUAUGUAAAGAGGUAAACACUAAAUCAGAACCAAAAUCUAUCACGAAACAGUAUAACGAAUUCACAUAAGCAAAUCUAUCACGAAACAGUAUAAUGAGUUCAAAAGGUAUUAACGAAUUUACAAGGAUUUUAGAAACAAAUUCAAUCAUCAAAUCUCAAACAAAAUUCAAAUUCGAAGCUGAAGCAAAUGUCAAACUGUCGAUUGAAUCAGGAUUCAAAUAACGAAUUCACAUAAGCAACAACAAAAAUCGAAUAAACCAAUUCGAAAUCUGACAUUUAAGCUAACAUUACAAAUUCAAACCUGGGAAACACAAGAGAUUCAACGGCGACACACUUCACUACUUCCGACGGCGACACACUUCACUACUUCCGACGACGAAAAUGGGAUUCAACGGCGAGAAACUUCACAAUUUCCGAUGGAGGAAUAACAGAAAGAGAUUCGACGGCGACAAACUUCACUAUUUCCGACGGCGAAGAUGGGAUUCGAUGGCGACAAACUUCACUAUUUCCGACGGCAUGGGAUUCAACGGCGACAAACUGCACAAUUUCCGAUGGAGGAAGAAGAGAGAGAAAGAAAAUGAAUUAGGUCAGAAGUGUGUUUAGCUCAGUAAGGGUAAUUUGGGGAUAAAAGUAUUAGAAAGGGUAUAAAUGAAAAUGGGAAAAAAGGUAGAGUUGAAAAAGAACAUUGAAAAAAGGGCAUUAGAGUGAAUUAUUCUUAUUUAUGUGACUAAAAUCUCAAAUUGUUUAUGUUUAUGAAUUUUAUUUUGUUUCGAAAAUAGAGG
rnacentral:sRNA from 1 species